rnacentral:rRNA from 1 species
CUAGACCUACGGGGCGCAGCAGUAGGGAAUCUUCCACAAUGGGCGAAAGCCUGAUGGAGCAACGCCGCGUGGGUGAAGAAGGUCUUCGGAUAGUAAAACCCUGUUGUUAGAGAAGAAAGUGCGUGAGAGUAACUGUUCACGUUUCGACGGGAUCUAACCAGAAAGCCACGGCUAACUACGUGCCAGCAGCCGCGGUAAUACGUAGGUGGCAAGCGUUAUCCGGAUUUAUUGGGCGUAAAGAGAACGCAGGCGGUCUUUUAAGACUGAUGUGAAAGCCUUCGGCUUAACCGGAGUAGUGCAUUGGA